GGUGCUGCAUGGCUGUCGUCAGCUCGUGUCGUGAGAUGUUGGGUUAAGUCCCGCAACGAGCGCCAACCCUCGUCCUAUGUUGCCAGCGGGUCAUGCCGGGGACUCAUGGGAGACUGCCGGGGUCAAACUCGGAGGAAGUGGGAUGACGUCAAAUCAUCAUGCCCCUUAUGUCUUGGGCUUCACGCAUGCUACAAUGGCCGGUACAAAGGGCUGCGAUACCGCGAGGUGGAGCGAAUCCCAGAAAGCCGGUCUCAGUUCGGAUUGGGGUCUGCAACUCGACCCCAUGAAGUCGGAGUCGCUAGUAAUCGCAGAUCAGCAACGCUGCGGUGAAUACGUUCCCGGGCCUU
rnacentral:rRNA from 1 species